rnacentral:rRNA from 1 species
UACGUAGGUGACCAGCGUUGUCCGGAUUUACUGGGCGUAAAGAGCGCGCAGGCGGUCGUUCAAGUCGAGUGUGAAAGCCCCCGGCUCAACUGGGGAGGGUCACUCGAUACUGAUCGACUUGAAGGCAGGAGAGGGAAGCGGAAUUCCCGGUGUAGUGGUGAAAUGCGUAGAUAUCGGGAGGAACACCUGAGGCGAAGGCGGGCUACUGGGCCGGAUACUGACGCUGAUGCGCGAAAGCCAGGGGAGCGGAACGGG